rnacentral:rRNA from 1 species
UACGUAGGUCCCGAGCGUUAUCCGGAUUUAUUGGGCGUAAAGCGAGCGCAGGCGGUUAGAUAAGUCUGAAGUGAAAGGCUGUGGCUUAACCAUAGUAUGCUUUGGAAACUGUUUAACUUGAGUGCAGAAGGGGAGAGUGGAAUUGCAUGUGUAGCGGUGAAAUGCGUAGAUAUAUGGAGGGACACCGGUGGUGAAAGCGGCUCUCAGGUCUGUAACUGACGCUGAGGCUCGAAAGCGUGGGGAGCAAA